CGAGCCUACGGGGCGCAGCAGUGGGGGAUAUUGCACAAUGGGGGAAACCCUGAUGCAGCGACGCCGCGUGGGUGAAGAAGCGCCUCGGCGCGUAAAGCCCUGUCAGCAGGGAAGAAAAUGACGGUACCUGAAGAAGAAGCCCCGGCUAACUACGUGCCAGCAGCCGCGGUAAUACGUAGGGGGCAAGCGUUAUCCGGCUUUACUGGGUGUAAAGGGGGCGCAGACGGCGAUGCAAGCCAGGAGUGAAAGCCCGGGGCCCAACCCCGGGACUGCUCUUGGCAGUGCGGGGC
rnacentral:rRNA from 1 species